GGAAAGAGCGGCAGGGGGAGCGGCCCGGCCCGGCCCGUCUCGGUCUGGUGUGCAGGAGUUGUGGCGGCCGCACGCCGCGAUGGGUCGCGUCGCUCCUCCGGAGUGCCACGGCGUAUUCUGCUUACGAUCAAAGUUCCCGCGCGUGGCGAGCAGAGCGCCGUGCGGUUUUGUGUCUGCGGCGCGAAGCGAGGCCUGGGCGCGGCGGGACCUCAGCCGUGCGGUGAAGGUCGCGGCUGCGGGUCGGGAGCGGCCUGUGGGGAGCGAAAGCAAAAGCAAAGCCAGGCCGGGCAGGAGGAGCCUUGCGCUGAGGGACGGGCGGCCUGCGGACCGCGCCUGGCCGGCUCUCCAGGCAUAGGGGCAGCUGCUGCCGUCGGUCUGAGCUCGCAAGUUUGAGGCCGCUGCUGAGAGCCGAACGAGAUGUGGAAGACCCCGUAGGUCCCGAGGGGAAAGUCAGCGACUGCCCCCUCCUCUCACAACGUUUCACAACUAAAUCAAAAGUCAUCGUGCAGCAGAAGAGGGUGAAAGGAGAUAACGACAGAAGGGGAGGAGCGGGGCUGUGUCCUUUCACAGACCGGGCAGUGAAUGCGAGGGAAUGGGACCUGCAGUGGAUCAGCAGAGAUUCUGAGAACUGAAGGCCUCACCAGAGUGAACAGAAUCAGUGGGUUACAGUGUAUGAGCACAAAGUCUUACUAGCCACUCUCUUACUCCUCCCUGUCCCUGACCUCAAGGUACAGAACCUUCUACCGUGUCCCUCAUCUUCAUGCAGGAUCUUCUUCCCUUUUUGUUGCUGGAGGACAACAUGAACUCCUCCUGCUAACUCCUGGACCUUUCUUUAGUCCAUCUUUCUGAGCUAUGAGGCCAGCAGAAGCUCCCGUGUAUCCUGCUCUCUGUGGGACAACACCCAUUGCAAUGGGCAGGGGCUGGGUCCCUCUGUGUGAAGAAGCGGCAGAGGAGAACUAGCUAGAAGGGCUGGAAAGGCAUACUGGGGAACCUCCUGCUAUGAUAAGAGCAGUAACUGCUUUUGUAUACCAACCAAAUGGAAACUGAAAACUCUAUAAUAAAACCAACAGUAAGUGACUUUCAGAUCAGAAAACAGGUUUGCAAGACACAGUUUGUGAGCACAUCAUGGAAUGCAAACUGCCUCACAUUUUUGGGGGUCAGAGGAGGAAGCCAUCCCUCCCAUCUACAAAGAUCAGCUUGGGUUUUACUAACUUCUGUGCAGGCAGAUGCUCGCAUCUCCAGCAGGGAGGCCAAACCUCUGAUGACGAUUCUCUUCUUCUGGUCAAAAUGUCAUCUCCAGCAUCUGCUACCUGACCCUAACUGCAGAAGAGAAUUCUUACCACUUGGAUUCUAACAUAGCAUCUCCACAGAGCAAGGAGGCUUAUAAAGAAGAUGUAAUACUUGUGGGAAAUUUGUGUCAUCGUAAAGCAGUACAGGAAUGAGGGGAGGAGUGUGUGUGAACUGUUUAUAGUUGCUGUUUUGAUGCUAAAUUAUUAUUUUGCUGUUGGAAAUUCUUUUUGUUGAUGUAAGUUGUGAAGUUUAGGUGAUGAAUCUUCAUAAAGGUACAUUUUCAUAGUAAUGUAAAUAAUGUUUCAGCAUAUUUCUAUCAUGAGUUUUUGAACACCCAUGUCUCACACUGGUGUCACCUUCAGUGGAUGGCAAAUUCUGAGACACUUCUGUCUAAGCUUUUAAUGAAAAUAAACUAUUUUAUUU
ensembl:lncRNA